rnacentral:rRNA from 1 species
GGGUUGUGAGGUUAAGCGACUAAGCGUACACGGUGGAUGCCCUGGCAGUCAGAGGCGAUGAAGGGCGUGCUAAUCUGCGAUAAGCGCCGGUAAGGUGAUAUGAACCGUUAUAACCGGCGAUACCCGAAUGGGGAAACCCAGUGUGAUUCGUCACACUAUCAUUAACUGAAUCCAUAGGUUAAUGAGGCGAACCGGGGGAACUGAAACAUCUAAGUACCCCGAGGAAAAGAAAUCAACCGAGAUUCCCCCAGUAGCGGCGAGCGAACGGGGAGGAGCCCAGAGCCUGAAUCAGCAUGUGUGUUAGUGGAAGCGUCUGGAAAGGCGCGCGAUACAGGGUGACAGCCCCGUACACAAAAGCGUAUGUGCUGUGAGCUCGAUGAGUAGGGCGGGACACGUGGUAUCCUGUCUGAAUAUGGGGGGACCAUCCUCCAAGGCUAAAUACUCCUGACUGACCGAUAGUGAACCAGUACCGUGAGGGAAAGGCGAAAAGAACCCCGGCGAGGGGAGUGAAAAAGAACCUGAAACCGUGUACGUACAAGCAGUGGGAGCACCCUUCGG